GNUAAUGACAGUACCUGGUAAAGAAACCCCGGCUAACUCCGUGCCAGCAGCCGCGGUAAUACGGAGGGGGUUAGCGUUGUUCGGAAUUACUGGGCGUAAAGCGCACGUAGGCGGAUCAAUAAGUUAGAGGUGAAAUCCCAGGGCUCAACCCUGGAACUGCCUUUAAUACUGUUGGUCUAGAGUUCGAGAGAGGNAAGNGGAAUUCCGAGUGUNGAGGUGAAAUUCGUA
rnacentral:rRNA from 1 species